rnacentral:rRNA from 1 species
CGGGGGGCUGCAGCAGUGAGGAAUAUUGCACAAUGGGGGAAACCCUGAUGCAGCAACGCCGCGUGGAGGAUGACGCAUUUCGGUGUGUAAACUCCUUUUAUGAGUCAAGAAAAUGACGGUAGCUCAUGAAUAAGCACCGGCUAACUCCGUGCCAGCAGCCGCGGUAAUACGGAGGGUGCAAGCGUUACUCGGAAUCACUGGGCGUAAAGGACGCGUAGGCGGGCUUGUAAGUCAGGUGUGAAAUCCUACAGCUUAACUGUAGAACUGCACUUGAAACUACGAGCCUAGAGUAUGGGAGGGGCAGAUGGAAUUAGUGGUGUAGGGGUAAAAUCCGUAGAUAUCACUAGGAAUACCGAAAGCGAAGGCGAUCUGCUGGAACAUUACUGACGCUAAGGCGUGAAAGCGUGGGGAGCAAACGGGAUUAGAUACCCUUGUAGUC